rnacentral:pre_miRNA from 1 species
AGUCACCUGCUCCUCAGAUCAGAAGGUGAUUGUGGCUUUGAGUAGAUAUUAAGCAGCCACAGCACUGCCUGGUCAGAAAGAGCAAGUGUACU